rnacentral:rRNA from 1 species
UACGGAGGGGACUAGCGUUGUUCGGAAUUACUGGGCGUAAAGCGCACGUAGGCGGAUUGUUAAGUCAGGGGUGAAAUCCCGAGGCUCAACCUCGGAACUGCGUUUGAUACUGGCAAUCUCGAGUCCGGAAGAGGUGAGUGGAAUUCCUAGUGUAGAGGUGAAAUUCGUAGAUAUUAGGAAGAACACCAGUGGCGAAGGCGGCUCACUGGUCCGGUACUGACGCUGAGGUGCGAAAGCGUGGGGAGCAAACAGG